rnacentral:lncRNA from 1 species
UUUCAACUAGACUCCCACCUCUCCCGCCUCCUCUCCCCAACUUUCGCCCUCCCUGCUCCCUCACCGCUGUCAACAGCGCCAGCUCCGCCCUCCCCAACGGCGAAGCAGCGGGCUCCUGAGUUCAGGUCCUUGCUCCCUGAGCGCAGGGUGCCCCCCUCCCACCCUGUCCCCAAAUUUAGGCGCUCAGGGUGCGUGGGCCUCGGGGGUGCAGUGGCGGCGGCGACAAUUCUCCACUCAUUCCUCCCACCGUGGACCAGGCGGACUCUGCAGGAUCAGAACAUAAUAAGUUAGCUACCAGAUCACUGAUUCAGGAAAACAGGCUGAGCUCGGAUGAGAACAGGAAACGCAUCGGACUUUCCCAGCAACUGGAGAGGGGAGAAACUUUAGAUUCUAAAGCUUAGAACGUGCCUUCCAAGUUUGCUAUGUGUGUGCUUGCUAAAAGAAGGAAGUGAGACAAUAUAAAGUGAACUUUUGCAGCACUCGCUUCCUUUCUAAAGUUUGGAGCUGCAGGCCUGAUAGGCUUUGGUCGCCCA